GAUGAACGCUGGCGGCGUGCCUAAUACAUGCAAGUCGAGCGAACGGACGAGAAGCUUGCUUCUCUGAUGUUAGCGGCGGACGGGUGAGUAACACGUGGAUAACCUACCUAUAAGACUGGGAUAACUUCGGGAAACCGGAGCUAAUACCGGAUAAUAUUUUGAACCGCAUGGUUCAAAAGUGAAAGACGGUCUUGCUGUCACUUAUAGAUGGAUCCGCGCUGCAUUAGCUAGUUGGUAAGGUAACGGCUUACCAAGGCAACGAUGCAUAGCCGACCUGAGAGGGGGAGAGGCGACACAGGAAGUGAGACAAGGGAAAGACGACUAAGGGAGGGAGCAGUAGGGAAGGGUAAGAAAUGGGAGAAAGCAUGAAGGAGCAAAGACGCGAGAGAAAAGAAGGUCGUCGGAUAGUAAAACUCUGUUAAGAGGGAAGAAAAUAGGGGUAAGUAACUGUGCACAUCGUGACGGUAAAUAAUCAGAAAGCCACGGCUAAAGACGUG
rnacentral:rRNA from 1 species